CCCGGUGAACUUGGAUUUUGAAAUUCAAAAUGAUCCACUUAUUAAGAACUUUCCAGAUAAAUAUAAUUGAAAAUAGGGAUGACAAUAGUAUGAAUAAUAUCCAUUCAGAUCUAUUUUUAUAUCCGAAUCAAUCUAAAUAUAAAUAAAAGUUUGAGGAUCCAUCCUUUAUCCAUAUCUAUCAAAGAAAAAUGGACACAAAUAUGGAUAGACAACU
rnacentral:lncRNA from 1 species